GAUGAACGCUGGCGGCGUGCUUAACACAUGCAAGUCGAACGGGAUCCAUCAAGCCUGCUUGGUGGUGAGAGUGGCGAACGGGUGAGUAAUGCGUGACCGACCUGCCCCAUGCUCCGGAAUAGCUCCUGGAAACGGGUGGUAAUGCCGGAUGUUCCACAUGAUCGCAUGUGAUUGUGGGAAAGAUUCUAUCGGCGUGGGAUGGGGUCGCGUCCUAUCAGCUUGUUGGUGAGGUAACGGCUCACCAAGGCUUCGACGGGUAGCCGGCCUGAGAGGGCGACCGGCCACAUUGGGACUGAGAUACGGCCCAGACUCCUACGGGAGGCAGCAGUGGGGAAUAUUGCACAAUGGGCGCAAGCCUGAUGCAGCGACGCCGCGUGAGGGAUGGAGGCCUUCGGGUUGUAAACCUCUUUUGUUUGGGAGCAAGCCUUCGGGUGAGUGUAC
rnacentral:rRNA from 1 species